UACGGGGGGAGCAAGCGUUGUUCGGAUUUACUGGGCGUAAAGGGCGCGUAGGCGGUCACGACAAGUCAGUUGUGAAAUCUCCGGGCUUAACUCGGAACGGUCAACUGAUACUGUCGGACUAGAGUGCAGAAGGGGCAACUGGAAUUCUCGGUGUAGCGGUGAAAUGCGUAGAUAUCGAGAGGAACACCUGCGGCGAAGGCGGGUUGCUGGGCUGACACUGACGCUGAGGCGCGAAAGCCAGGGGAGCGAACGGG
rnacentral:rRNA from 1 species